GCUAGUCGAGUAUCCUGCUCUGCUGUCUCAAGAUUAAGCCAUGCAUGUCUAAGCAUAAGCCGAAUAUGGUUAAGCCGCGAAUGGCUCAUUACAACAGCCUUAGUUUAUUGGAUCUUAGAGUCCUACUUGGAUAACUGUGGUAAUUCUAGAGCUAAUACACGCAAUCAAACCCUAACCUUACGGGCAGGGUGCAUUUAUUAGAACAAAACCAAUUGGCUUCGGCCGUUAUUGGUGAAUCUGAAUAACUACGCUGAUCGCACGGUCUCGUACCGGCGACGUAUCCUUCAAGUGUCUGCCUUAUCAACUGUCGAUAGUAGUUUACAUGACUACCAUGGUUGUAACGGGUAACGGAGAAUAAGGGUUCGACUCCGGAGAGGGAGCCUGAGAAACGGCUACCACAUCCAAGGAAGGCAGCAGGCGCGCAAAUUACCCACUCUCAGAACGAGGAGGUAGUGACGAAAAAUAACGAGACAGUCCUCUAUGAGGUCUGUCAUCGGAAUGGGUACAAUUUAAAUCCUUUAACGAGGAUCUAUUGGAGGGCAAGUCUGGUGCCAGCAGCCGCGGUAAUUCCAGCUCCAAUAGCGUAUAUAAAAGUUGUUGCGGUUAAAAAGCUCGUAGUUGGAUCUGCGGUCGUCGACACUGGUUCUCUUCUUGAGAUACUAGCUGUCGCGACCUACCUUGUUAGAUGUCUCUUGGUGCUCUUUACCGAGUGCCUUGAGCGUCUAGCUCGUUUACUUUGAAAAAAUUAGAGUGCUUAACGCAGGCAUUAGCCUGAAUAGUGGUGCAUGGAAUAAUGGAAUAGGACCUCGGUUCUAUUUUGUUGGUUUUCGGAGCAUGAGGUAAUGAUUAAGAGGGACAGACGGGGGCAUUCGUACUGCUACGUUAGAGGUGAAAUUCUUGGAUCGUAGCAUGACGAACAACUGCGAAAGCAUUUGCCAAGAAUGUUUUCAUUAAUCAAGAACGAUAGUUAGAGGUUCGAAAGCGAUCAGAUACCGCCCUAGUUCUAACCGUAAACGAUGCCACUUGACCCCGAUGACGUUGCAUUCUGCACGUUUGUCGGAGUCGCCCGGAAACGAUUUAAGUUUUCCGUUCAGGGGAAGUUAUGAUGCAAUCCGAACUUAAGAUUGACGAUGGCACCACCAGAGUGAGCCUGGCGGUUAAUUUGA
rnacentral:rRNA from 1 species